rnacentral:rRNA from 1 species
AGAGUUUGAUCCUGGCUCAGAUUGAACGCUGGCGGCAUGCCUUACACAUGCAAGUCGAACGGUAACAGGCCGCAAGGUGCUGACGAGUGGCGAACGGGUGAGUAAUACAUCGGAACGUGCCCGAUCGUGGGGGAUAACGCAGCGAAAGCUGUGCUAAUACCGCAUACGAUCUACGGAUGAAAGCGGGGGAUCGCAAGACCUCGCGCGGACGGAGCGGCCGAUGGCAGAUUAGGUAGUUGGUGGGGUAAAGGCCUACCAAGCCGACGAUCUGUAGCUGGUCUGAGAGGACGACCAGCCACACUGGGACUGAGACACGGCCCAGACUCCUACGGGAGGCAGCAGUGGGGAAUUUUGGACAAUGGGCGCAAGCCUGAUCCAGCCAUGCCGCGUGCAGGAUGAAGGCCUUCGGGUUGUAAACUGCUUUUGUACGGAACGAAAAGGUUUCUUUUAAUACAGGGAACUGAUGACGGUACCGUAAGAAUAAGCACCGGCUAACUACGUGCCAGCAGCCGCGGUAAU